AUGAAAACGCUCCAUCAUCGGCCAGAGCCAUUAACCUGUCGCGCUCGGCUUAACCAGCCUGCAGAGAGCACCAAGGCUGCUUCCCAGAGCCAAGCGCUGCCUGGGCUCCAGUUACCAGAGCCACCACUCAAACUGGGUGACCAGUUGAUGGUCCCAGCCAGGAGCACGGUGCCACCGGUGCUUGGGGGACCCCGUCCUGCCCCUACAAUUAGGGACAAACCGUGGCCGUGUCCCCGUGCCGCAGGCAGGGGGUUGCCGUCCCAGUUUGCGCGAGUUUUGGAGAUGCCGGAGCCAGUCCUUGGGCUCGCUCCAGCUCCUCCCGCAGCAGGAGUUAUUUUUACCCUCUUUCAGGUAAAGCUUUUGCGGGGGAGAGGGACGGGGGAUGCUAUAAUUAGCUGUGACAUCAGCCCCCGUGGCGGCGCGUGCUGGGACGAUGCCGCCGUGCCCCGACCUGCGGCUGGGGACCGGGGAUGCUCCGUGCCCUUGUCCCCUGCUGCAGUGGGGGCAGCGGGAUGGUGGCAGGAGCUGGGUUGUUCCUGGCUCCAGCUCGGUCUUUGGCCGCUUUUUGGGGUGGUUUGGCCCCGCUCUGUGCCUUGCAGCUCAUCACGGGCUGGGGAAAGGAGGUUCCCCGGAGCGGGGGAGCACGGAGGCGGUGUGGGGCGGGGGGGGGGGAAGGCAGGAGGGGGAUUUGACGGCAGCAACAGCACAUUUCACAGCCUGUCACGCUUUAAUGGCAGAGGAGAUCAAAGCCGGGAUGGAGUUAUUCAUAGAGAUAAACCAAUCCCCGAGGAGGCGAGGAGAAAACAACAUUGCAAGCUCUGUUAUCCCAGGCCUGCAAGCAGCAGCCCGGCCCUGGGGAGGCUGUUGCAGGAGGUGCCCUGGGAGCCAGAUCCGCUCGGCUCCGUCCCUGGCAAGGCCUGGCCAAGCUGGGGCUGGGCUGCCUGCACCUUCCCUGGGGGGGUCAAUGAGGUUGGAUGCAAUCCUACAGCACCCAGGAGCAGGAUUUGGGGGCGGAUGUUUGGUGGGGCGAGCGGGCUGCCAUGCGCCUGCGAUGCACCAGAGAGGGGGGGAAAAAUUCAGGCUUGCAACAUUUGGGGCAGCUGCAGCUCCCGAAUAAGAGGCAGAGUCGGGGCAGCCUUCACGCUGCUCCUGGGCAGAGGAGGCGGGUGA
rnacentral:lncRNA from 1 species